rnacentral:lncRNA from 1 species
AGUUUUUUUCGCUCACGGGUAACCUUGGUUGACGCAAAUCCUUUACCGAACAAUCUCCAUCGUGCCUCCUCCAUCUACUCGACACUGGCGAGAUAAACAGUGCCCAGUUGGCACAAAUGAAAGCCAUAAAGAAGAAUUGAAUUGAA